AACCUGAUAGUAACAGAUAACUUUUCGUAUAAAUUGUAGAUACCCGUAACGAUGGGUACAGUUUCAAUCGAGUUAUUCUUUGAAAAUGUACAUUUUAGUUACAGAGAUGGAGACUACCAGCUUCACGUCCUGUAAAUUACAGGGUUUGCCAUUGGAUGAGCUGACAAGUCUUCAAGAGAAGUUUAACAGUUUGAACUUAUUAAACAGCAAACAGGAAAGUUUCUUUGAAGUGGAUACCCAUGGAAUCAACGUAUUGAACAUUUUGUCUGGUGAUGAUUACAAUUACAGGAUUAGAAGUCAAUCCAUGGCGAUGGAGAAAACUAAUAUAGGUGGUAGAACCAUCCAAGUACAAAAACUGGUGUGGACAUUAAGCAAAACAUGAAAAUAUUAUGAAUCAAUUAUUUAUUGAAUAAAUCAUCCAAAAUUUUA